rnacentral:rRNA from 1 species
UACGGAGGGUGCAACCGUUGCUCGGAAUCAUUGGGCGUAAAGCGCACGUAGGUGGCCUGUUACGUCGGGUGUGAAAUCCCUGGGCUCAACCCAGGAAGUGCACUCGAAACUGGCGGGCUUGAGUACUGAAGAGGGUCGCGGAAUUCCCGGUGUAGAGGUGAAAUUCGUAGAUAUCGGGAGGAACACCAGUGGCGAAGGCGGCGACCUGGGCAGAUACUGACACUGAGGUGCGAAAGCGUGGGGAGCAAACAGG